UACGUAGGGUGCAAGCGUUGUCCGGAAUUAUUGGGCGUAAAGAGCUCGUAGGCGGUUUGUUGCGUCGGCUGUGAAAUCCCGAGGCUCAACCUCGGGUCUGCAGUCGAUACGAGCAAACUAGAGUGUUGCAGGGGAGACUGGAAUUCCUGGUGUAGCGGUGAAAUGCGCAGAUAGUCAGGAGGAACACCGGUGGGCGAAGGCGGGUCUCUGGGCAGUAACUGACGCUGGAGGAGCGAAAAGCCGUGGGGAGCGAACAGG
rnacentral:rRNA from 1 species